rnacentral:lncRNA from 1 species
CAUAGGCACAGAUGUGCACUCACACAUCAAUUUCUAAUGAAGGAAGCAGUCUUCGGCUAAGGAUGGAUGGGGUCUCAUGAGCAAACAACCCACUCCAGUGUUGCGUGUCAUUGAGAGGCAACACAGAAUCUCACAAUGUCCUUAGCAAGAGUAUGUACUAGUCGCUCAAGGCAUUACCUUGCUGACUGCUGCACCAUUUAAUGACUGUUCUCUUUCUGGUCUCCUUUGAUGAGCCCACUGUUCUGUCUUCAUCUCCAAGAUGACCAUUUGCCUUUAAACCCAUGCUUCAAGGUCUUUGCCCCAAGGGAAUCCAGAGCCAGAUACUGCCCUGUGAGGGAGAAAGAUUUUUAUUGACUCCCUUAGUUUAGACCAAAAAAGAAAUGGAACCAGAGAAAGGUUGGCUAACUUGUGGAAGAUGAAAUGGCUGGAAAGAGACAAACCUUGGCAUCAAACUCAGGCUCAAAGUCUGUGUGGCAAACCCACCACUCCUGGGAGAACCACACAAUCACAGAGCGCUCUAGCUGCAUUGCCCUGGCUCUUGGAAACAGACGACAGGGCUAGGCCUCUUCUAAUCCAAGCAUCUCGACCAACAUCACAGAAGCAGAACGAAUAUUACAUGGUUCUCUGACCGUCCACCAUGUUUUAUUUCCAACUGAUCUCUCUCUGAAUUUCCUACUCCA